ensembl:lncRNA
CUCCGCACCAAGACAGCCGUGAUUGGAAGAUAACACAGCGGGUUAGAACUCUGUCUUGCUCUCUGCAAAUCUGUGACGGGAAAACUACUGUUCCUGCCAUUCCUAACUUCUGAUGCACUGGCCUCUCCAUUGGUCCGCCCUGGUGGGCAGUGUGGAGCUUUGCUGUUUAGACUCUGUGGUGAUUAAUUGUAGGUGUCCACUUGACUGGAUUAAGGGUUACCUACAGAACUGGCAAAGUGUAAUUGCUGGGUGCGUUGGUGAGGAGUUUCCAGAGGAGGCUGGCAUGUGAAUCAGCAGGCUGAGUGGGGAAGAUCCACCCUCAGUGUGGACAGCUGCCAUCCAAUUGGCUGGGGUUUGGGCAGAACAGAAAGGUGAUCUGCACUCUCCUGGGGCUGAGAUGUGCUCUUUGUCGGAACUGCUGGCCCUGCAGCCUUUCACAAUGGACUCCAGCAGCCUCCUGCAUUCUCAGGACUUCAGAGAUCGGACUCGGGACCUUGCGCUUGCAAGCCAGGUGGCGGCACUACUGAGCUAAAUCACCAGCCCUGUGACACCAUUUUAUUCCUGGCUCUUCCUCAAAGUCAAAAUGACCAUGAGAGUCAUACCGCAUAGACCAGAGGAGGGGCACUUUUCACUGAGAAAGACAGAAGAAAAGAUACAAUGCAGAUGCAGACUGUCCUCAGAAAGUUACCUGCACUGGGGAGAGGGGGAUUCCCUGGGAGACAGGGUGCAUUUUCCCUCGGCCCUCUUAUAAUCUCCUUUUCCAUCACUUCCCCUUGGGUGGGGAGAGGCUCACAAUGUAAGUAGUUUUGCUCUGGCACUCGCUCCUGCCACGAUGUGAUGCCUCAUCACAAGAAAUGAUGGGACUUUUCAGGUCUGGAGAGGCCACACAGAAGCAAGCUGACAGCUGGGCAAUACAAGGAGACUUUCAUGCAGCGGCUCUGAUAGUGACAGGCAGCCCCAGUGAGCUGAGGAACAUUUCUAAAGCUUAAGCUGCCAUGUCACACACAGCAACACUUUCAGAGUGUCAAAUGCUGGAGCUGUAAUGACUUUCUUGUGCGUAUUGUUUGAAAAUAGAAGUGAGUAUGCUAUUCUAAAGCUGGUGUUGAGACAGUGUAGACAAGACUAAUUUGGUAAAAAGUAAAUUGAUAAGAAUUUCAAAGAACAGUUCCAGCAAGAACUGAUAAGAGCAGUUUCAUCGAGUAAAUUCAGACACAACACAUACUUCCUGAGAACUUAAGUGAGCCCAGCACCAGACACUGGGAUGAGGUCUUUUAUCCCAGUCUUGGGGUUAAUUCUCAUGAAGACCUUAAUGGAGAAAUAUUACCUUCUUCCAUGCGUUACAACUGAGACUGACGUGGUGGCUCUGAAGUGUUUGUUCAAGUCACACAGCUACUGUGGGAGGGAAAAAGAGUUCAAACCAGGUCUGUCUGCCUUGAGAUUCACUUUGAUUUCAGUGAAAGAAGAGGAACUUUUUCACAGUUAUUUGUCUGGGUCUAUAUGUACACACAAGCAAGAGCUCUCCGGCAGUCACUUGAGCUAAAAUUUCUCUGGUUCACUUUACAAUGUGAAAUCUUUUGGAAAGAAAUGUGGUAGAGACAAUGCCAUGUAACUCCACACAUAAGCUGAGGAGGAGGGGUAUUAAGCUGUGGCUGUGUUUGUGGCUUGUGUUUUGUGGUUUCGCAUUUUUGUUUCUUGAGUGCUUAUUAUAUGUCAGGCUUCUCACUUGGUCCUCACAGUGCCCUUUAAAGGUGGUCACAGUCACAGGUGGCUUUACAGGGAAACAUUCACAAGGAGCAGUAUAUCAUUAGGUGUAUUCAGAGUCUGUGCAAAGAUUAUAGAGUGUACUUACACAGACCUAGGUCAGUGCUUCUGUAUGGUCUCUGAAUGCAACACAGAGACUCAGUAAACACAAGAUAUAUGAGGCUGCUGCCAGUGUAACACGGUAUACUGUUUUUAAUCAGUAGAAUUAGGCUAAAAUAACAAUAAAAUCAUAGUGUGGUCAAUACAUAAGCCAGUAGCAUGUUUACUAUCAUUAUUGAGAAUUCUAUGCUAUACAAAACUGUAUGUACUAUAUUUUUAUAUGAUUGCCAGGGGAGUUCAUUUGUAACAGCCUUACUACCCACACAUGACCAAUGUGCUGUGCUAUAUUGUUAUCAUGGCUACAACAUCACUAGGUGAUAGGAAUCUUUUAGCUCCAUUAAAAUGCUAUGGGACCAUGAAUCAUGUAUGUGGUUUGUCAUUGACUAAAACAUUUUGUGGCUCACGACUAUGGUAGUAUGUGCACUUUACAAAUAAGAGGGAAAGGGUAUUUGGAAGGUUAUGUCCUUAAAGCUCACAGAGCUAGCUAGUCACUAUCAAAGCCAAGAUCAGAAUUUAGGUUUUCUGGUUUGAAAGCCCUUGUUAUUUUUGCCACAAAAUCCUGUCAGCUUGUUGUUCUGAAUCUGAGACCAAGGAAGAGCUAGGAUUUUUCUUUCUGAGAAAUGUGAUGAGUGAAAUGAGAGAACAGAGAGGUCCCAGCAAAUACCCUUAAACCCAUAUUGGCUUCUGAGUGGUGUGUGUGUGGGGAGCAAGAUCUAGACCAGGCAAGGUAGGCGGACGGGAACCUCAUCCGGUCCAACCCGGAAGCUCAGGCCUAGAGGAGACACUGCCUGGAGGCCACUGUGGGAUGCGAGAGAGCACGAGGCUGCCACCAAAUCCUGAUCCAGCAAGUGGUUUCAUCUGGGAGGCUUCAUUUUUCCCCUUUAAAAUGGGGAUAAAGGAGGCCCUGUGGAAGGGAAAGAAGACAGGGAAAGUGACUCUGAGGUAGGGGUUCAGUAGACUCUAGCCUUCCGGGCCACAGCCCUAAAUGGUCAGGCAGGGCAUCACUCCUUGUCUGGGAACGCUUGGAGGCUGUUCUCCAGCCUGUGGGGCAUCAGGGGCUCUAUCAUACCCUUCCUCAGGUCAGAGUCACUGACGGCAGAGCCCUCGGUGUCGAGGUCAUUUGGGCAAAGGGGUCUGCAGAGUGCGGCUCCAACUCAGCGUUCCUCAGCUUGCAGCCUCCUGAAACUCAGUCACAGGUUGAAACUGCAACCCCGCUGGUGACUGCUUCCUUGUUGCUAAGCGACCAAAUAUCUGAUAUUAAGCUCCUGUUGAUGAAGCUAA